GAUGAACGCUAGCGGCAGGCUUAAUACAUGCAAGUCGAGGGGCAGCAGUCCCGCAGCAAUGCGGGAGCUGGCGACCGGCAAACGGGUGCGGAACACGUACAGAACCUUCCUUCGAGCGGGGAAUAGCCCAGAGAAAUUUGGAUUAAUACCCCAUAGCAUUACGAAGUGGCAUCACUUUGUAAUUAAAGAUUUAUCACUCGAAGAUGGCUGUGCGGCUGAUAGGUAGUUGGCGGAGUAACGGCCCACCAAGCCUUCGAUCAGUAACUGGUGUGAGAGCACGACCAGUCACACGGGCACUGAGACACGGGCCCGACUCCUACGGGAGGCAGCAGUAAGGAAUAUUGGUCAAUGGACGAAAGUCUGAACCAGCCAUGCCGCGUGGAGGAUGAAGGUCCUC
rnacentral:rRNA from 1 species